rnacentral:lncRNA from 1 species
GGUGGAGUGAUCUCCUAAUAUCUCAUUCUUUCAAGUCAAAUCAAAAAUUUAAGUUAUCCUUCGUUUUAUCCUUGAUGUUCAAGAUCAUUGACAAUAGGAGCUCGCACAUAUUUUUUUUAAUGUGCAGGACAUCUAUGCAGUAGUGCAAUAAGUUUGUCUCCCAAAAUGGCAAGUCAAAGAAUACAUUUUUUUUUCUCCAAUUAAAGUGUGUGUUACCUGUCUUUGAUCGAUGCUUUCUCUUUUUACCAUCAAUCAAAUCACUUUUUUCAAAUUCAACACUA